rnacentral:RNase_P_RNA from 1 species
GUUGUUUGAAGUCGACAAUAGAGGCAACAUAAAUGGAACUUUUCCAUACUUUAGCCUUUGGGAAGGUCUGAGAUAUGUCACCUAAUAUUGGUAUAGUUCAGCAACACGUCCAGUAAUGGAUUUGAUGGAGAACAGAAACGAAUUUUCGGUAGAUUUCAUAACCAAUGAUCAGAGGUUGUCUAUCGAAAAAUGAAACGGCUCUUUCGACAAGAAUGCUCGUUAUAAACUGGCAAUAUUGUAGCUCAAUUUGUCGGGGAGGUUAACUCUAACUCAAUUCAGACUACUCUCAAACAAC